AUUGAACGCUGGCGGCAGGCCUAACACAUGCAAGUCGAACGGUAACAGGAAGACGCUUGCUUCUUUGCUGACGAGUGGCGGACGGGUGAGUAAUGUCUGGGAAACUGCCUGAUGGAGGGGGAUAACUACUGGAAACGGUAGCUAAUACCGCAUAAUGUCGCAAGACCAAAGAGGGGGACCUUCGGGCCUCUUGCCAUCGGAUGUGCCCAGAUGGGAUUAGCUAGUAGGUGGGGUAACGGCUCACCUAGGCGACGAUCCCUAGCUGGUCUGAGAGGAUGACCAGCCACACUGGAACUGAGACACGGUCCAGACUCCUACGGGAGGCAGCAGUGGGGAAUAUUGCACAAUGGGCGCAAGCCUGAUGCAGCUAUGCCGCGUGUAUGAAGAAGGCCUUCGAGUUGUAAAGUACUUUCAGCGGGGAGGAAGGGAGUAAAGUUAAUACCUUUGCUCAUUGACGUUACCCGCAGAAGAAGCACCGGCUAACUCCGUG
rnacentral:rRNA from 1 species